rfam:Vibrio angustum S14 1099604003226 genomic scaffold, whole genome shotgun sequence.
AUUAAUUCUCAGGGCGGGGCGAAAUUCCCCACCGGCGGUAUACUUUUCAAGUGAGCCCGCGAGCGCUCGAUAUUUUCGAGGUCAGCAGAUCUGGUUAGAAGCCAGAGCCGACGGUUAUAGUCCGGAUGAGAGAGAAUUGAG